CUUUGCCUGCUAUCUCUUACCCAUGUCUUUUGAGUACCUUACGUUUCCUCGGUGGGUUCGCCCACCGAUUGGACAAAUUUAAACCCUUUGCAGUUGAAAUCAGCGUCUGAAAAAACUUAAUAGUUACAACUUUCAACAACGGAUCUCUUGGUUCUGGCAUCGAUGAAGAACGCAGCGAAAUGCGAUAAGUAGUGUGAAUUGCAGAAUUCAGUGAAUCAUCGAAUCUUUGAACGCACAUUGCGCCCCUUGGUAUUCCAUGGGGCAUGCCUGUUCGAGCGUCAUUUGUACCUUCAAGCUCUGCUUGGUGUUGGGUGUUUGUCUCCUGUAGACUCGCCUUAAAACAAUUGGCAGCCGGCGUAUUGAUUUCGGAGCGCAGUACAUCUCGCGCUUUGCACUCAUAACGACGACAUCCAAAAGUACAUUUUUACACUCUUGACCUCGGAUCAGGUAGGGAUACCCGCUGAACUUAA
rnacentral:rRNA from 1 species